CACAUUAGUCACGGUUGAGCGCCGUCGGGAACUUCCCCCUAGGCCCUGCCCGUGCUCCUUUUUGGUCCGUAGACCGAGGCGGAAGUUAGUUCCUCAAAUUAAAUCACAUCAAUUAAAAUACCAUGGCCGCUAUGGCCUGUUGUUAAGUCCGUUGGAGUGAUAUCUACAUGCUCGACGCGAUACUAUCACGACGGGCCACACGUACAAUCCGUCUGCUCGUUGAGCGGCUCAUACCAUCCCUUGACUUAACUGGUAUACUUACCUUUGGUAAAAGGCCGAUUGAGUCCAGACGAUACGUGUGUGCACUGGGAUCAGUGUUUAACCUAUUAGCAUUGACCUAAAGACGAUUCCCUAGGCCGAUGUCGCAUGUAGCCUACACUCAUGUCCUUGUUGGUCCACCUAUAUCACCACGAGUCAAAAGGCAGGCCUAAAAAUGCUCAAAAGAAUUAGGGCCGUUUAGGCCUUCGUUGGGGAGUGAUAGACGCACAUGCUCGUCCUGAUAUUAUCAAGACCGGCCACCGUAGCGCCAUACCCAUUGAACGACCGUUACCAUUGACUUACCAAUUGCUUAUUUUUGGGGGUAACAGCCGGUUGGUGUAUGAACGAUACUAGUGUGCACUGGGACAGUGUUUAACCUUUCUACUUUUUUAUUACCAUGUAGACUUCGGUAAUAUCGCAUGCACGUUAUCAUUCCCAUCAUCCUCCUGCAAAAUAAACAUUUCGGAUUAAUACCGUAACCGAAAGCCUAAUACCGUUUACAGAGUUUGGGAAUCCCCGUCAAACUCAUCUCCGACCGUAGCGACUCGCAGUUUGUCAUAGGAGCGGACCAGGCUCGUGGCUACCAUAAUGUUUGGGAGCUUCUGGCGUCUGCCACCAGGGGGAUAUCGAACGUAGGUAGUCUUUUUUCACACAACACAACACAGAACACCAUUCAACACUCACCUGGUGGCGACGUCAGCAGUUACCCAACGUUAUUGGAGACUUGGAGUCACGCUCUCAAGCACGCCACGUCAUAUAGGGCUGUUCGACAUCUUUUUUAAGAUUUGUUGAAAUCGUGAAACGCAGCAACUCAUGUAUUUUUUCGUCUGCUACGAGUGACUUGUGUAGUUCUGCGAAAUAUUAAUUUUUUUAAAAAACAGUGAUAGAAAAGGGGGUUAAGACCUCUUAUGAACUCAGAUACUUCAAUAUCAACAAUGAGGAAAAGGAUGAUGAUGAUGACAAGGAAUAAGUUCGUCUCCCCGUUGUUUCGUUUUUGCUGUAAAGUAAUAAACGAUGACCAUUAUAUUUGUACAAUUGUUACUGCAUUAAACUUGACACCAUUCCUUGA